rnacentral:rRNA from 1 species
CACGUAGGCACCAAGCGUUGUCCGGAUUUACUGGGCGUAAAGCGCACGUAGGCGGAUCGUUAAGUCGGGGGUGAAAUCCUGGAGCUCAACUCCAGAACUGCCUUCGAUACUGGCGAUCUUGAGUCCGGAAGAGGUGAGUGGAACUCCUAGUGUAGAGGUGGAAUUCGUAGAUAUUAGGAAGAACACCAGUGGCGAAGGCGGCUCACUGGUCCGGUACUGACGCUGAGGUGCGAAAGCGUGGGGAGCAAACAGG